rnacentral:rRNA from 1 species
GAUGAACGCUGGCGGCGUGCCUAAUACAUGCAAGUCGAGCGAACAGACGAGGAGCUUGCUCCUCUGACGUUAGCGGCGGACGGGUGAGUAACACGUGGAUAACCUACCUAUAAGACUGGGAUAACUUCGGGAAACCGGAGCUAAUACCGGAUAAUAUAUUGAACCGCAUGGUUCAAUAGUGAAAAACGGUUUUGCUGUCACUUAUAGAUGGAUCCGCGCCGCAUUAGCUAGUUGGUAAGGUAACGGCUUACCAAGGCAACGAUGCGUAGCCGACCUGAGAGGGUGAUCGGCCACACUGGAACUGAGACACGGUCCAGACUCCUACGGGAGGCAGCAGUAGGGAAUCUUCCGCAAUGGGCGAAAGCCUGACGGAGCAACGCCGCGUGAGUGAUGAAGGUCUUCGGAUCGUAAAACUCUGUUAUUAGGGAAGAACAAAUGUGUAAGUAACUAUGCAUGUCUUGACGGUACCUAAUCAGAAAGCCACGGCUAACUACGUG